rnacentral:rRNA from 1 species
AUGAGCCAGAGGAUAGGACCCAUGGAAAGCACCACCACAUCAACUAGGAAUCGGCAAGGGCCGCCGCCGGCCGCCGCCUUGAUGCAUCCUCUGCCUCAAAGCAGCGUCCGGUGCGACGCGCUCGUGGUGCUUCACCGGCAUCCCGACGCGACGUGCUCCGCUCGCGGUGCUGCAGUAAAGUGCACGGGGCUGCAAUGGAGCACUACGGGAGGCUGCAAUGGAGCGACGCGCGGGGUCGUUGAGCUCCGACGGGGAUGCAAUGAAGCACGCCGGAGCUGCAAUGAAGCGCGCAUGGGGUCGUUGAAGCUCGUCAGGGGUUGCAAUGGAGCCCCGGCGUCAUGGCCGCUGCAUCGCAACUCCGGCAGCGUCGGCGACCGCUGCAUCGUAGCUCCGGCGGUCGACGACCGCUGCACUGCAGCUCCGGCGGCGUCGGCGACCGCUGCAUCGCAGCUCCGGCGGUCGACGACCGCUGCACUGUAG